rnacentral:rRNA from 1 species
AAAGGUUCUGAUUCAUAUA